rnacentral:tRNA from 1 species
GGAGAGGUGGCAGAGUGGUUGAACGCGCUGGUUUCGAAAACCAGUAUGGGCUCAUGGUUCAUCGGGAGUUCGAAUCUCCCCCUCUCCG